rnacentral:rRNA from 1 species
CCUACGGGUGGCAGCAGUGGGGAAUAUUGCACAAUGGGGGAAACCCUGAUGCAGCGACGCCGCGUGAGUGAAGAAGCGUUUCGGCGCGUAAAGCUCUGUCAGCGGGGAAGAAACACGGUUCGCGAGAGCCGCGGACGGUACCCGACCAAGAAGCCCCGGCUAAAUACGUGCCAGCAGCCGCGGUAAUACGGAGGGGGCAAGCGUGAUCCGGAUUCAAUGGGUGUAAAGGGGGGGUAGACGGCGAGACAAGUCUGGAGGGAAAGGCCGAGGCCCAACCCCGGGACUGUACUGGAUACUGCCUGGCUGGAGUACAGGAGAGGUAAGUGGAAUGCCUGGUGUAGCGGUGAAAUGCGUAGAUAUUAGGAGGAACACCAGUGGCGAAGGCGGCUUACUGGACUGUAACUGACGUUGAGGCUCGAAAGCGUGGGGAGCAAACAGGAUUAGAUACCCUAGUAGUC